rnacentral:lncRNA from 1 species
UUUCUAGCCUCCGCCUCCAGGCGGGUGAGGAGGUGACACCUGAGAAUUCCUCCCUCUCACCCCUGACCCUGCCGGAAAGCGAAACUGAGAUGCGGGCAUUGGGCCCUGGGAAGCGUGGGGAAGGGGAAAGGAGAAAGCCAGGUUAACUACGUCAGGAUUAAUGUGUUCCACUUCUGCUGCCUGAGAAAAUGGAGAAAUUAAGUCCUUUCCAUGGAUCAUUCCUUCUGUAAACAGAGAUCACAAAGCAAGAGCUUCAGCAUCCUCGUGAAAAAGACAUUUUGUUCUGGGUGUCAUCAUCUCCUUCCACUACAGCUUGCAAUUGGAACAAGCUUCACAUCCUGGGGGUGCUGCCUAUCUCUGUCUUGAUUUCUGUCUGUCUAUUCCUCCCAUUGACAGGAAUGUCGUUUGUAUCCUCCACGCAGCAGUUUGCAGAAAUCCAGCAAGGUUUAUGGUUUAUGUUGCCCAGCAUGUAUAAACACAACGCUCUCAAAUGCUUUUUAAAAAUCUAUGAAUUUGUUAGAUGUCUUCACAUCCUGGUCCUCCUACCCCAAUUCUCAAACACAAAGUACUCUGUUGCCCUAUUAUAGUCCUGCGAUAGUUCUGGCUAGGAUUAGGUUGACGGUCUAAGCCCCAAGAAAGGCCUGGCAUUUUCAUAGCAGGCUUUCCCCAGUGCUUUGAGUCUUCCUCUCUCACUCCCUUUUUCUUUUUCCCUCGGAGGAGGGGGUGUUGGGGGUGGGAGGUGAUUAGUAAAUGUUUCAGGUAAUC